rnacentral:rRNA from 1 species
GAUGAACGCUGGCGGCGUGCCUAAUACAUGCAAGUCGAGCGAACGGACGAGAAGCUUGCUUCUCUGAUGUUAGCGGCGGACGGGUGAGUAACACGUGGAUAACCUACCUAUAAGACUGGGAUAACUUCGGGAAACCGGAGCUAAUACCGGAUGAUAUUUUGAACCGCAUGGUUCAAAAGUGAAAGACGGUCUUGCUGUCACUUAUAGAUGGAUCCGCGCUGCAUUAGCUAGUUGGUAAGGUAACGGCUUACCAAGGCAACGAUGCAUAGCCGACCUGAGAGGGUGAUCGGCCACACUGGAACUGAGACACGGUCCAGACUCCUACGGGAGGCAGCAGUAGGGAAUCUUCCGCAAUGGGCGAAAGCCUGACGGAGCAACGCCGCGCGAGUGAUGAAGGUCUUCGGAUCGUAAAACUCCGUUAUUAGGGAAGAACAUAUGUGUAAGUAACUGUGCACAUCUUGACGGUACCUAAUCAGAAAGCCACGGCUAACUACGUG